UGAGGAAUUUUGCGCAAUGGGGCGAAACCCUGACGCAGCACACGCCGCGUGAGCGAUGAAGGCCUUCGGGUCGUAAAGCUCUGUCAUGUGGGAAGAAUCUGCUCGGCGACUAAUACCGCUGGUCAAG
rnacentral:rRNA from 1 species